CAGAGGUGUCAAACGUUGUCCGGAAUUACUGGGCGUAAAGGGCGCGUAGGCGGCCUUAUAGUCAUGUGUGAAAGCUCUGGGCUCAACCCAGGAAUUGCAUGUGAUACUGUAAGGCUUGAGUUCGGUAGAGGAGGGCGGAAUUCCAGGUGUAGCGGUGAAAUGCGUAGAUAUCUGGAGGAACACCCGUGGCGAAGGCGGCUCUCUGGUCCGAAACUGACGCUGAGGUGCGAAAGCUAGGGUAGCAAACAGGAUUAGAUACCCUGGUAGUCCUAGCUGUAAACGGUGAGUACUAGGUGUUGGAGGUAUUGACCCCUUCAGUGCCGAAGCUAACGCAUUAAGUACUCCGCCUGGGAACUACGAUCGCAAGAUUG
rnacentral:rRNA from 1 species